GACGAACGCUGGCGGCGUGCUUAACACAUGCAAGUCGAACGGAAAGGCCCUGCUUUUGUGGGGUGCUCGAGUGGCGAACGGGUUAGUAACACGUGAGUAACCUGCCCUUGACUUUGGGAUAACUUCAGGAAACUGGGGCUAAUACCGGAUAGGAGCUCCUGCUGCAUGGUGGGGGUUGGAAAGUUUCGGCGGUUGGGGAUGGACUCGCGGCUUAUCAGCUUGUUGGUGGGGUAGUGGCUUACCAAGGCUUUGACGGGUAGCCGGCCUGAGAGGGUGACCGGCCACAUUGGGACUGAGAUACGGCCCAGAAUCCUACGGGAGGCAGCAGUGGGGAAUAUUGCACAAUGGGCGGAAGCCUGAUGCAGCAACGCCGCGUGCGGGAUGACGGCCUUCGGGUUGUAAACCGCUUUCGCCUGUGACGAAGCGUGAGUGACGGUAAUGGGUAAAGAAGCACCGGCUAACUACGUG
rnacentral:rRNA from 1 species